ensembl:lncRNA
AUGAAGGAUAGAAUUCACAGAGCAGAUAAAACCGCUUUCCGGCUUCCGCAGCAUGUCUGUACCUAUACUGUUUUGUUGUGCAGGUUCAGAAUGUUCCAUUGCGAAGGCUGUUGUUGUGUUCAGAGAGUGUUAGAGAAUGUACUCUGUGUCUUGGCCUCUCCCUUCAGCGAGCCCAAACCUGUCUCUCCCUCCGUGCCUGUAGGCCAUACAGGUAAGAGGUCUGUUUGCUUUGCCAACCACAAAAAAAACUGCAUUUUGACUCCCAACACAGUGUAACUCAACCCUAAACCCCCACCCCCCGCGAACAUGCUUGUGUGUUGAGAGGGGGGUUUUCCACACGUUUCAGUACAGAUUUAACUAGUUGCAUGCACACAAUCAAAAUUGAAGUUGUAAUAUAUUUAUAUACUUUAAACUCCUUUUUUUAGCUUGUCUUUUUAACAUCAUUAUCGCCAAGUUGAAUGUAGAUACCCUUGAAAAGAAAUCCACACAAUAUUUUCAAAUAUAACACAAAUGGCAUUUUCAGUUCAAGACAAUUGCUGUUAAAUGGUACCCACCUUGAUUUUGACCACACACUCACCUUGCUCGUGGCGUUAGAUCCAAAUCGGUGCUAAAGAAACAAAAAGUCAGAAAUUGUUUUCUGUUAAACCAUGCAAAAAUAAAAAGGCCUAAACUUUUGGUAUGAAGGUCUUG